rnacentral:lncRNA from 1 species
ACUUACAGCAGAAUCUACACAGGCUGGGGAGCCCCUGGCUCCCCUCCCUACUGUCCACACCCAACCCCAACCUAGAGCAGCUGGCUAUAGGGCCCAGAGCCCAGGCGGGUCCCACCUCCUGCUGACCUGACCCAGCGCCCGCUCUCUCCCCCGCACACUUUGGUGACCUUACCCAGCGUCCCUCCCCGCUCCUACAGGUUCUGACUGACCCAGCGUCCCUCCGCCUCCCACACCAUGUUGAGCUGCACCUUGUCCCCUUCCGCCCCAGCUAACUCGGUGACCAGUGGAGGCCACACCCACGUGACACCUGCUGUCCUUGACAGCAGCUCCGACGGCACCUCUGUGGCUCUGCAGGAGCCGCCUCCCCGCCUCGUGGGCACACAGAAUCGACAUCUAGAGGAGUACUCACCACUUAAUUGAUGAUCAAUACACGUUCCUUGAAAGAACCGAUAGCAUGCGAUCGAUACAGAGCAUCUGCACUGGGAUUGUCCGCCCCGCCUGUCAGGGAGGCCUCGGGGGCUAAUGGAGCUGAGGGUAUAGUCGGCCUUGGACCCUCGCUUUUUUCCUUUCCUGUACUAUGAAGAUAACUGCCUUAUCUCCCCCUCAGGACUGUUUUGGGGAUUAAAUAGGACGUUUAAAUUACCAACGCUCUUUGAAAUAAACAUUUCAAAAUUA